UACGAAGGGGGCUAGCGUUGCUCGGAAUUACUGGGCGUAAAGCGCACGUAGGCGGACAUUUAAGUCAGGGGUGAAAUCCCAGAGCUCAACUCUGGAACUGCCUUUGAUACUGGGUGUCUUGAGUAUGGAAGAGGUGAGUGGAAUUCCGAGUGUAGAGGUGAAAUUCGUAGAUAUUCGCAAGAACACCAGUGGCGAAGGCGGCUCACUGGCCCGGUACUGACGCUGAGGUGCGAAAGCGUUGGGAGCAAACAGG
rnacentral:rRNA from 1 species